UUUCUACUCCCUCCGUCCGAAAAUACUUGUCAUCAAAAUGGAUAAAAAUAGAUGUAUCUAAAACUAAAAUACGUCUAGAUACAUUUCCUUUUAUCCAUUUUGAUGAGAAGUAUUUCCGGAUGGUGGGAGUAUUUG
rfam:Triticum aestivum genome assembly, contig: Triticum_aestivum_CS42_TGACv1_scaffold_224121_3B